rnacentral:rRNA from 1 species
UUUGAUCCUGGCUCAGAUUGAACGCUGGCGGCAUGCCUAACACAUGCAAGUCGAACGGUAACGCGGAGAGCUUGCUCUCUGGCGACGAGUGGCGGACGGGUGAGUAAUACUUAGGAAUCUGCCCAUUAGUGGGGGACAACUCGGGGAAACUCGAGCUAAUACCGCAUACGCCCUACGGGGGAAAGCGGAGGACUCUUCGGAGCUUCGCGCUAAUGGAUGAGCCUAAGUCGGAUUAGCUUGUUGGUGGGGUAAAGGCCUACCAAGGCGACGAUCCGUAGCUGGUCUGAGAGGACGAUCAGCCACACUGGGACUGAGACACGGCCCAGACUCCUACGGGAGGCAGCAGUGGGGAAUAUUGGACAAUGGGGGCAACCCUGAUCCAGCAAUGCCGCGUGUGUGAAGAAGGCCUGCGGGUUGUAAAGCACUUUCAGUAGAGAAGAAAAGCCUGGCGUUAAUACCGCCGGGUCUUGACGUAACCUACAGAAGAAGCACCGGCUAACUCCGUGCCAGCCGCCGCGGUAAUAC